UAGGGAAUCUUCGGCAAUGGACGGAAGUCUGACCGAGCAACGCCGCGUGAGUGAAGAAGGUUUUCGGAUCGUAAAGCUCUGUUGUUAGAGAAGAACGUUGGUAGGAGUGGAAAAUCUACCAAGUGACGGUAACUAACCAGAAAGGGACGGCUAACUACGUGCCAGCAGCCGCGGUAAUACGUAGGUCCCGAGCGUUGUCCGGAUUUAUUGGGCGUAAAACGAGCGCAGGCGGUUCUUUAAGUCUGAAGUUAAAGGCAGUGGCUUAACCAUUGUACGCUUUGGAAACUGGAGGACUUGAGUGCAUAAGGGGAGAGUGGAAUUCCAUGUGUAGCGGUGAAAUGCGUAGAUAUAUGGAGGAACACCGGUGGCGAAAGCGGCUCUCUGGUCUGUAACUGACGCUGAGGCUCGAAAGCGUGGGGAGCAAACAGG
rnacentral:rRNA from 1 species